CAAUUUAUAUUAGGUUGGAGUUCACGGUUCGACUUCUGAUAUUCAGAUCGAGUUCUAGGUCAAAGUGGUUUGAUCGACUUUCAAGAAAUUUGAGUUCUAGUGAGUUCGAGAUCUGAGGUCUGUACAUUGUUCCAUUUACUGCAUAUUGUACUUAAUUCAUGUCUCUCAUUUCACCUGCAUCAACAUUGUAAAGUUCUUCACAAAGAGAUUUAUAUAUUUAUAAAUACUUCUAUUCUCUAUUCUUUUCUCUACUGCUUUUUUAGUUAGCCUUUGUUAAAUUGUAUGUAUUGUAUGUCAAUACAUACUUUACAAGAUACUUGUGACAUACGUAUCUUUUUGUAUAGACUUUUUUUCCCCAAAUCUUCAUUUGGUUCUUUCAUGUUAUGCUGCUAAAUCGUUAUCACAAAGCACAAUGGUUUUAAACAGUAAUUGUUACCAGUGUAAAAUUGAGAAAUCACUAUUACAUGCUAAGUGUAAUGUAUAAAAAAAAAAUUUCAUACAUUUUUUUUUUCUUCAAGAAGCUAUUUUGAUGGAAAUGGUGGUCCUGAAAUUCUUCAGAGAGGCCAAGGCUGCGGCAUGCAUAAGGAGACAGAAAGCUUUCCAGAUGACACAUGUUCCACUUUGUGUGAGGGUAGAUUUUGGUGGAUCCUCCACACAGAUAUGUUUCUCUGUAUUCUGCCAAGACGACGGAAACUGUAUUUCAGUUUCAGUCGUCUUGGCAGAAUAUUUGUGACUUACAAUGCUCAGAGGAAUACCUGGCAUUGUGCUUGUGCAAAGCCACGAAUAUCAUGCCUUCAUAAAAGCAUUGCUAAAUGGCAUCUCUUUCAGACAGAGAGAGACCUCUUCCAGUCAAAUGUGCCACUAUCAUCAGGCCCCCCAUCACUGAUGACUCAGGAGGGAGUGGAAGGGAGUAUGCGCUAUAUAUUUAAAGAGAAAAAAAAUCCUCAAUCUCUUCCAGAAGAUGUCAUGUCCCAAAAAAUGGAACAUGAGAAACAGCUCAUUCCUUUUGAAACUCUGUGCCAGGUGUGCCCAGACCACCCUAAACUUGACCAGGAUGUCUGACAAUCAGGCUGUCUCUGGACACCUGGCCAUUUCCAGUUGUGUGUAAGUCUUAUUUUUUUGCCACAUACUAACUUUUAGAAUUUUGCUGUGUGUCUGUGAUCUAUUCAAAUUUUGAUGACACAUUUUCAAAAAUCUUUCUUUACUGUAUUGUGUAUGAUCACUUGCAAUGACAUUGUUUGCAAGUUUUAAGUCCUGAGCAACCGUCUUUUAGGUACUGAAGCCACGUAAAAGAGAAAUCCUCUUUCUUGACCCAUUAUACACAAAGGCAGGAUUUGGUGACCAACAAUAUGUUUCACUUUUGAGGUCACUUUUUUAUAAGCAUGUUUGGUUUGUUCCAGAGUUUUCAGGAACCUGUUUAGUGUUCCAGGUUAAGUGCAUCCCAGAUCAUGUUCUAUUGAUCUAGAGUGUUCACACAUACAGUACAUUCACAUGCUUGCUUAUAAACUAUAUCAGCAGGAUGCAUCACCUCUUGAUUCUUUUUCUCAUCUUCACAUUCUGUUCAAAUCAAUGAUGCUGUCUUUAGAUGAGUUUCACACAUUAAUAGGCUUUUCAAAAUCUUCUAGUGUUUAACAUAAAACACCAUUAAAAAUCAGUUUAUAAAUUAUGCCAACCUGAAAAUAAAACUGAAAUUGCUGUGUAUGACACACUUUAACCAACUGCGAGCAUUUGACUGUACUUUUACAUUUUGUUAAUUGUGUCCAGGACGUGUUCCUAAGUCCGUGUUCCUAAGGCCUGUACUUAAAGUUGGUGCUAUUAGCAAUUAACAUUUCACACCCAUCAUGAUGAUGUCUGUUAACUCGUGAAUGUAAUUGUCUUGGAAAAAGGAAUCUUGCAGUGAAGAUCAUUCCAGGGCAGUGGUCAGAAAAAAAUAGCUUUGACUUGAAGGGUUUUCCGAGCCAAGACUUUGGAAUUGACUGUGGGAUCUUCAUGCUAAUGUCUGCUCUCUACGUGGCACUGGAUGCACCAUUUGAUUAUACUAUAUCAGACAUGCCCUAUUUGCGGAAAUAGUGGUGCUUGCUGUUGAUGGAGAACUUUGAUCUCAGGAGCUAUGGCAAACUUUUUGCACACUGGAGAGAGGACGCCAAAGCUGUGCUUCAAGGACAACAUGUGCCCAUUUUCAGACUUAAAAAGCGUAAGUUACCAGAAGUCAGUCAGAAGCCAGCAGUUGUUCAAGAUCUGCAUACUGCUCUGCAGUGGGUUGUCCAAAAUAAGGGGCUUUUCCAUGGACACGUAACCACGCCAAAAUAUCUGUCCUUAAAUAAAGAGGACCAGCAGAGGGUCUUAAGAGAGAUGCUGGAAGAAGACACUGAAGCAAGGGACUUCUUCAUCUUUGUUUUUCAGUGUGCGGAGGACAUGGAGCACUUUCUAAAGGCAUGUGUUGACGAGCAGGGACUAAGGGUCAAUGCUGUUUGAAAUAUAAUGGAUGGAGGAAGUCACUGGCUGUUUGUUUUUUAAUGUGUUGUUUUUUUCAAUGUAAAUACAAAAUUACAAUUAAACUUACCGUAUUUCAAAAUUUUGUUCACUUGUUUCCAUGUUCAUAAUUAUACUACUAGAAGUUAAAAUAAAAGAUUACAGUGUAAAUGUAACAGCAUUGU